rnacentral:rRNA from 1 species
ACGAGCGGUCUGGNGCGCUUAUGGGAAACACCCGUACCCAUCCCGAACACGACGGUUAAGACGUAAGCGGCCGAUGGUACUGCACUGGAGACGGUGUGGGAGAGUAGGUGGCUGCCAGCU